rnacentral:tRNA from 1 species
GCCCGGAUAGCUCAGUCGGUAGAGCAGAGGAUUGAAAAUCCUCGUGUCGGUGGUUCGAUUCCGCCUCCCGGCACCA